rnacentral:rRNA from 1 species
UGGCUCAGAUUGAACGCUGGCGGCAGGCUUAACACAUGCAAGUCGAACGGUAACAUAAAGAAGCUUGCUUCUUUGAUGACGAGUGGCGGACGGGUGAGUAAUGCUUGGGAAUCUAGCUUAUGGAGGGGGAUAACUACGGGAAACUGUAGCUAAUACCGCGUAGAAUCGAGAGAUGAAAGUGUGGGACCUUCGGGCCACAUGCCAUAGGAUGAGCCCAAGUGGGAUUAGGUAGUUGGUGAGGUAAAGGCUCACCAAGCCGACGAUCUCUAGCUGGUCUGAGAGGAUGACCAGCCACACUGGGACUGAGACACGGCCCAGACUCCUACGGGAGGCAGCAGUGGGGAAUAUUGCGCAAUGGGGGCAACCCUGACGCGGCCAUGCCGCGUGAAUGAAGAAGGCCUUCGGGUUGUAAAGUUCUUUCGGUAGCGAGGAAGGCAUUUAGUUUAAUAGACUAGGUGAUUGACGUUAACUACAGAAGAAGCACCGGCUAACUCCGUGCCAGCAGCCGCGGUAAUACGGAGGGUGCGAGCGUUAAUCGGAAUUACUGGGCGUAAAGCGUGCGCAGGCGGUUUCGUAAGACCGAUGUGAAAUCCCCGGGCUCAACCUGGAACUGCAUUGGUGACUGCGAAACUGGAGUGCGGCAGAGGGAGAUGGAAUUCCGCGUGUAGCAGUGAAAUGCGUAGAUUUGCGGAGGAACCACCGAUGGCGAAGCAGUCUCUGGGCUGCACUGACCGCCCCAUGCACGAAAGCGGUGGGGGAGCAAACAGGAAUAAGAAUACCUU